AUAAUUCCAGAAGAAUCUUUCCAUUUCUUUCAUCUUUUGUUCCAACUAUGGAGAAACAUGGGUUGGACUUCAGAAUUUUUUUUUUUCCAAACUUUCAAGGACUGCUCUUCAACUUCAUCUUCUCAAGUGGAAGUGCAAUUUUAGAGAUAAUAGAUCUGAAGAACAAGAAACUUGGGUGAAUCAAAGAUGUCGUGGCAAACAUAUGUUGAUGACCACUUGCUUUGUGAGAUUGAAGGUAAUCAUCUCACUUCUGCUGCUAUUAUCGGUCAAGACGGCACCGUUUGGGCCCAAUCUGCUAAUUUCCCUCAGAUUUCAUCUGGGUUACUUUUGUUUUUUGCUUUUACUUAGAUUCAAGCGGUUCAGAAUUUUCUUGAUGGUGGCUUGUUGUUUUACUUUAUUAGUUCACUUUUAUGAAGUAGGGGUAAUUUGGUUUCUUAUGUAGAUUUUUUGGGUGUAUUAUUGAAUUAUUGCUUAUUUGGUGGACUAUCAUGAAAACAAAAAAUUGAGAUGGCUAUGGAAGGAGCUUUUGGUGCUUUAGCUUAGACAGAUGGGAGUAAUACUUGCAUAGCUUUGUUAUUUGGAAAUGUAAUGCACAAUUUUUAUGGAGCGAAAUCCUUUUAAAAUUGCAAGAGAUUUAGUUAUGCCCACACUCAAAUUAAGAAAGGCACAACUGCUUGACCAUUAUAAGGUAGUUUAAGCCGAAAAUGUAUCCUCUAUUUUGUAACGAUAGUUGUUACAUUUCUUUGUCUCACUACUUACUAAAUAGUAACUACUAUGUUAUAAUUUCGAGUCAAAAUAAGUAAGAAACAAAUCAGAAGAAAAUAUUUUAAAGUCAGCUUUCAGUAUUUUAGAACUUCUGAGAUUGACAUAAAGAAACAUUGGUUCUUUACACAUUAGUGAUGGUUUAAGUGAUAAAGAGAAGACAAUUUAGAGGAACAUCAUAAUGAUAUUUUAUAAGGCUAAUGAAACUGAAGUAUAGUCUUUGUUUCAGAAUUUUAAUGCUUGCCAACUCAAGAUUCAUAUUUGUAUUUAUCUUUUCCAUGACAAAUUUCAUUAAUAGUACAGUUCCUUUGUUGGUAAUCAAUAUUUGUUGGGUAUUUAUAUUAGUGUUCAGUACUUUUAGUAAGUAAUAUUACUUAAUCUUUUUGUUGUUGGAUUUUCUACAGGUUGUUUGUGCAUGUUUGAAACUAGAUGCAUAGGUGCAACCUUUUGAGAAGUACCGAAAAUUUGAUUCAAAUAAAUUAUGUUUAUGGACGGGGUGACACUUGGCUAAAAUAAGAAGCUUAAAUGACUUGGCUGGCAAGUGACAACUAUAUGAAAAUGGCCAUUCACAGUGUAAGUCUCCAAUCUUUUUUUGUGUGAUGUUGAGCUUAAGUUGUCUCAUGCUCUGUAGUUGAGGUUUCUCAUCAUGCAUGGUCGCGAAGAUAUUCUGUUUUGCUAACUCCGUUUUAUGUUUUGUCCCGGUGUCGAGAAAGGGUUACCAGUUUAGUGUUUCUAGAAUUACCUUUAUCUUAUUGCUCUUUGGCAAUGGUAUUUCAUUUGCUUACAUGUGUAAUCCUACAGUACCAUUACUACUAUUUUAACUUUUUGUCAACAAGAAGAAUUAGAUAUAACUUAUAGUUUUUCAGAAUGAGUAGAUAUUUUUCCAUGUGAUAUCUUUUCUCAAUUAGUAGUUAACCCGUUAUGGAGCAUUGACUACAGAUUGUUGUUUAGAUGACUUUAUUUUAUUUUUUUACUCUCAAGUUGUUCGAGGGACGAGGGGAUAAAAUACAGUAAACAACCAUAUGAAUGGUGGAAUAAUAUGAAUGACAGCUAUCUCAUGUAACAAUUUCUUAAGAGCACGAUUCCGGUCGUGCUACAGUUACUAAUGUUAUUUGGUCAAGAAUUAUCAUUAGCAAAAAUAUUUCUUUCGAUUUCUUUGUCUAGACAAUCUGUUUGAACACUAAGGUAUACAUGAUUAAUAUCAUCGAUUAUUUCUUCUUUUUAUUUGAUAUUUAGGUCAGUAGAAAUGUGUAUCUGUACAAUCCUUCUAAUGUGUUUCUCAAUCUAAUGAUGUUAAUACAUUACUUUGAUAUCUGAUCUCCAUGCUAGCCUCCCCAUUUUCAUUGUAUAAAUGAAAUUUAAUUUUUCUGUUUUAAUCCUUACAAGAACACAAUGUCAAUGUGUUUUUUAUUUUGACUAUAUAGAAGCGUGGGUUAGGAGAAUGGAUCGACAUGGUGCCUUAUGUGUCAAUAAAAUUACAAUCAAGGGCAAUUUAGAGAUUCAAGGCAGGCUUAUUUAGGUUAGUUUACGUGUCAACAACCCUCUAGCUGUCACUUUCUUCUCACGGAACUCAUCUCUGUGCCGACUGCCUCUUCGAUGUUCAAAAACCCGAACACCACACUCCUUUUCACCUCACACACUCCCAUUCCACCUUCCCACAAAGGCGUUCGAGGUAUUCACAAAAUUCGGCAAAACGGAGAAGCCAGGUUUGUCUCAAAGGGUACCAAAGGAGAUUCCAACCAUUCAUAUUCCUCUCAGGGUAAGUUCACAGUUUUCCAUAUCCUUUAAACUUGGGUACAUCAUUCAUGUUCUUUGAUUGUCGUUUAUCUCGACUCUUUUGUGACAUUUUGAUCAAUGAAUUUUGUUCUGUUAGUUUGUUGGAGAGAUUGCACAAGCAAUGUGUUUUUUAUUUUAACUAUAUAGAAGCGUGGGUUAGGAGAAUGGAUCGACAUGGUUCCUUAUGUGUCAAUAAAAUUACAAUCAAGGGCAAUUUAGAGAUUCAAGGCAGGCUUAUUUAGGUUAGUUUACGUGUCAACAACCCUCCAGCUGUCACUUUCUUCUCACGGAACUCAUCUCUGUGCCGACUGCCUCUCCGAUGUUCAAAAACCCGAACAUCACACUCCUUUUCACCUCACACACUCCCAUUUCACCUUCCCACAAAGGCGUUUGAGGUAUUCACAAAAUCGGGCAAAACGGAGAAGCCAGGUUUGUCUCAAAGGGUACCAAAGGAGAUUCCAACCAUUGAUAUUCCUCUCAGGUUUGUUGGAGAGAUUGCACAAGAUAUUACACAUGUCGGAUAGGAUAAAUAAAGCUUAUGUGGAUGAGAACCAUAAGCCAUGGUGGCCUCUGCUGCCUCACUCACUUUUGGUAAAAGUAACAGGUGAUGCUCGCUCUGCAAUAGAAAUAUGUCAACAAAUUGUAAUACUUGGGAUUAUCAUGCAAUUGAUGUUAUUUCCAUAUUCUGCUGCAUCAGGAAGUUUUUGAACCAAAUUAAACAUCAAACUGCUAUCUUUCUGCAAAAUUGCACUACCUGUUUUGAAAGCUGGAUUCCCGAAGAACAAAGAAUAUAUGCAACGGACAAUACUUUAACAAGCCUCUCCAGGUAUUUUGUCAACCACGCAUCACACAGCUACAACGUUAACUGCGAAGAACAAGAUGAGUGCCAGCGGCAUAGUCGGUGGUUGUGUUACUAUAUUGCCUUUUGCCGCUACCGGCUUCUAUCAAUAUGUAACUAAUGUGUGUGUGCAUAGACAAUGCAAUCAUCAAUGUGUAUAUAAACAUUAUGCUUCAGUUGUGCAAUACCUUCUUCUGUCAAACUGUUAAUAA